rnacentral:rRNA from 1 species
UACGAAGGGUGCAAACGUUGCUCGGAAUUAUUGGGCGUAAAGCGCACGUAGGCGGCUUAGCAAGUCGGAUGUGAAAGCCCUUGGCUCAACUGAGGAAGUGCAUCCGAAACUGGCAAGCUAGAGUAUGUAAGAGGGUCGCGGAAUUCCCGGUGUAGAGGUGAAAUUCGUAGAUAUCGGGAGGAACACCGGUGGCGAAGGCGGCGACCUGGGACAAUACUGACGCUGAGGUGCGAAAGCGUGGGGAGCAAACAGG